GAACAAGCUGCUGACUACCUUUAAGAAGCUGGAAGUCGUAUUUUAAUCCAGAUGAACAGGGUCCAGUGUAAAUAAUGAAACGUGAUAAUAUGAAAUCUCUCCACUUUAGGUCGUCCAUCUCGUCCCACACAGUCCACGCUGCUGUGAAACCCGUCUAGGAACAGAAACAGUAGACGGUGUGUCAGCCGCACUGCCAGUGAGGCUGCGUCACACUGUUUUUAAAAACAGCACAGCAUGCUCGAUGUUCCUCCUGGGAGGGGUUUGAAAGAUGCCCCCCCCAGCCCCCGUCCUGUCACCCCACCUGAUCCCACAGACCUCCGCCCCCCCAACAAGCCUUUCUGCUCACUAAUGAUUUGUGAAUGUGUGUGUCUGUCGUUGUUUACUAAAUGUGUCCGUGUGUGUACGAGGUCGUACUGUGACUUCCUGUUUUCAUUUGAGAUUUCUCUGUAUUUAACAGACUUUCUAUGUUUUUAACAUGUUUGUUUUUAUAUGAUUUAAUUUAUUUAUAUUUAUUUGAGGAGAUGUCCUUAAUGCCUUCUUUAGAAAUUGUAUUGUAGGCUCCAGUGUGUGUGUUUUUGUUACGACACAUGGGUGUGUGUCCUGUAUGUGUAUGAACGUGCAAUCGACUGCAGGUUUCCAAAUGUUCGGGCACAUGUCAAACUCGCUGUAUCCGUCUUAUUCUGAUGACUGUGGGUGCUCCAUAGAGACACACACACACACACACACACACAGACCAUCCUAGAAACCACUGACGCCCCCCCCCCCCCCCCAAAAGGUCCAGAUGAUGUCCGUUUUUGUCGACAUGAACCUUUGACUUUGUGUGUUUGUGUGCAGCUCGCUCUCUCUGACACACACACUCCUCAUAGAUCACGUGUACAUUGACUCUGUACAGACUGUAAAAAGAAGAAUUUAGGGAAUCAAGAGAGGAAAAAUCACCAUGUGUACCAGUGAGAACCCGUCAUGUCACAGGGAGACGACUUAAUGUUUCUUUUUCUUUCACGUCUCGUUCAAGUGUAAAAUCUUCUCACAUCGAUAGAAGUCUAAAAGUUUAACAAGUUUAAUACCUGAAACACAUCUUUGAACAGUCUUUAGACUAUUCCAUCAUUAUCAAGUACCAGGAAGUGUUUUAAAGCCCCCCUCUCAGUCACUGUAGGUCUGAUUCAUACCCCAGGGAGAAGUUAGUGCGCAGCAGACAGCGCUUCAUCGGGUCUCUGAUGGACGCCAGGAGUCAGCUGUCAGCUGGCUCAAUCACCGUCUCUCACUGAACAGGCUGCCACUGUUCAGAGCAGUGAGAGAGCACCCCCUCAAGGGGAGUGGUCACAAUGACAUCCUGAGAUCAUCCCACCCUUCCUUCAUAAUCAAACAUCUCACUGAUGGUCAGACGCUGGCUGACUUUGACACACGACAGGUUUUUAGGCUCCAAACAGGAAGUGUCUCAAAACGUGUGAGGGUUGCUUCUUACUUUCUUCGGUCACGAUUGGAGCCUCAGAUAAACUCUUUGCUAACCUUAGGUGACCCAGGCCAGUAGGGGGCCCCCUAACGGCUGACAAACUUUGAAACCCGAGCAUUGCCUCAGAUGCUCAUUUAGCAACGACAGGAAAUCUGCCUAAGGGGGCCCCAUCUGACAUCACUCACUUUCAAUACCCUGCUAAGCAUCACAGCAUUAUUCAGGUGAAAAACAAAAUGUGUCAAUUAAGGAAAAUGAAGAGGAGUUAUCAAUCUGAAAAAAAGUGAAAAAAGACAGAGGGAAAAUUCAUUGGAAGAGGCCCCACAAUGAACCUUUGCCUGGGGCCCCAACAGACCCUAGAAUGGCCCCUGAAUGGAACUAACUGGAAUCAUAAUUCGCUCCCCGUCUUUUAACCCGGGUCAUUAAAUGUGACGUCCUGUGCCAUGUGCCACUUUCAACACCAGGUGUGAUUUAGAUUUAUACUUCCUGUUUUCCACUUUUCCUCAUUAAGGACAACUGGUGACACCAGGCGACUGACUUCUUUAUGAGGUAUGAAUCCAGCCAAAUAUUUCUACGUCAUCCUAUCAAACCACUUAGUAACCGCUGGGCCCCGGAGAUAGUCGGUCCAGACUCUAAUAUAACGCGCCGGUGUGUAUGAGUGAGUAUGUGCUGUGUGUUUGUUAAUGUAAGCGACGGUUGUAGAUAGACCCAGCCAAUCAACCAGUUAGCAUGCAGACGUCGGGUCUUCACUCUCAUCAACUUGAAUUUACUAAAAGAUGAAAAAUAUAGAAGGAAGCAAAGUGACUCUACAGAGCGUAAGUGUUACCGUAUUUAGCUUUAAAUGGUCACUCUGAAAAAGAAGACGCGCUUUUUAAUCCCUUUUUCUGGUUGUUUUUUCUACUCGGUUCCUACUAAUGACGAGUUAGUAGUCGGUGUGUUCGAUGAUGUUCGUCUGAU